GGGAAUUUGGACAAUGGSGAAAGCCUGAUCCASCCAUACCGSGKGKKGAAGAAGCCCUAGGGUUGUAAAGCACUUUAAGUUGGGAAGAAAAGUUAUUGGCUAAUACCCAAUGGCCGUGACAUUACCAUCAGAAUAAGGACCGGCUAAUUCCGUGCCAGCAGCCGCGGUAAUACGGAAGGUCCAAGCGUUAAUCGGAAUUACUGGGCGUAAAGCGCGCGUAGGUGGUUUAUUAAGUUGGAUGUGAAAUCCCCGGGCUCAACCUGGGAACUGCAUCCAAAACUGAUUCACUAGAGUACGAUAGAGGGAGGUAGAAUUCACAGUGUAGCGGUGGAAUGCGUAGAUAUUGUGAAGAAUACCAAUGGCGAAGGCAGCCUCCUGGAUCUGUACUGACACUGAGGUGCGAAAGCGUGGGUAGCGAACAGGAUUAGAUACCCUGGUAGUCCACGCCGUAAACGAUGUCAACUAGCUGUUGGAAAGCAUUGCUUUUCAGUGGCGCAGCUAACAUAGUAAGUUGACCGCCUGGGGAGUACGGCCGCAAGGUUAAAACUCAAAUGAAUUGACGGGGACCCGCACAAGCGGUGGAGCAUGUGGUUUAAUUCGAUGCAACGCGAAAAACCUUACCUAUGCUUGACAUACUUGGAAUACUUUGUAAUGAAGUAGUGCCUUCGGGAGCCAAGAUACAGGUGCUGCAUGGCUGUCGUCAGCUCGUGUCGUGAGAUGUUCCGUUAAGUCGGAUAACGAGCGCAACCCUUACCCUUAUUUGCCAGCGAUUCGGUCGGGAACUAUAAGGGGACUGCCGGUGAUAAACCGGAGGAAGGUGAGGACGACGUCAAGUCAUCAUGGCCCUUACGCAUAGGGCUACACACGUGCUACAAUGGAGAAUACAGACGGACGCUAAGCCGCGAGGUGGUGCUAAUCCUAGAAAAUUCUUCGUAGUCCGGAUUGGAGUCUGCAACUCGACUCCAUGAAGUCGGAAUCGCCAGUAAUCGCGAAUCAGCAUGUCGCGGUGAAUACGUUCUCGGGUCUUGUACACACCGCCCGUCAUACCAUGGAAGUGGAUUGCACCAGAAGUAGAUAGUCUAACCUU
rnacentral:rRNA from 1 species